AGUGAUCAGUUAUCAGCGGGAGCGGAUCGACUUGCUUCAGACUUACUUGACUUGACUGGCAUAUGUCAGAAGCGAGGGCGUUCGCCGGGGGCAAAUCGUCGGAAUAUUACGGCUAUAGCAUGCACAGAUAAACACAAGCGCGCUGACAUUGCGAUGCGGCUCUUUACAAAUGAGUUUGGCAAAUAGCUUUGGCGCCGCCACUUGGCCCCAAUGGCGGGUGAUAACACCCCUCAUAUACAGCUAGCUAGCUAUAGUUCUACAUAAAGUACUCAACUCCAAGGCCAUUUAGAAGCCCACUGCCCUUGUGGCAGCGUGUAAAUCACCCAUACUCACUUGACAAUAUUCGCAUGAUUGCUGGCAUUCAGCUGCUUCAGCAGCGAAAUCUCCCGCAGCGUGGACAUUGGCACACCGUUCUCGUUCAGCGAUAUCCUAACCUUCUUCAGCGCCACUAUGUUGCCGGUGAUCACAUCGCGGGCUCUGUAAACCGUUCCAUAGGCACCUGAAAAGUGGAUCGAAAUUGUACAUCAAAAUGCUUACAACGGGAAAUAAAUGCGAAAGACAGCCGAAAAUAGAAUAAAAUAAAGUCAGCUGUGCCGAUAAGAUAAAUGGCAGAAAUCAGAGAGGCGAGAGAAAGAGAGAAGGUGCCACUUAGCUUCUUCAUAUCAUUAUGGUGUAUUUAUACUUUUCAUAUUCAACAUCGUAUUUAUAGCCCUUACGAUUGAAGUGACUUGAUUUAUUUGCCUUGUUCGAUGAACUAACUGUUUAUAAUGAUUGAAUGAAUAGACAAUGAAUGCAUUUAGCCCAAAAGAAUCGUAUUGCAAUGCAUGCAAUAAUUGCAUAUAUUAGAGACUAUAUUAUAUGCACUCAAAAUUAGUCAAAAUAUUGCACGAAAUUCAGACUAAUUUCCUCAUGAAACUGUUGCUGUCUCAGGUACAACGUGAUCUUAAUUUCUACAUGUUCACGGGCAAAGAAAAACGACAAGAGACGAGCAAAAUUCCCAAUCAGAAUCAAAUUCUGGCAUGCCAGAGAAAUGUCACCGAAAAUUUAUCACCCGUACGGACAAAUGGACAAAUGGACAAACGGACGGACGGACGGACAUGCGUGGGGGGUAGAAAAGCUAGAAGGCACCGGCUAUUUCGGUUGACACUGACAUACAGAAACAGCAGAUAUGUACUGAUACACCCGAAAUAAACGCAACUUGAGGGGGGGGGGGGGUGAAUUUGGUUUUCCGUCCCUUUGUCACCGUCUCUAGACCACCUGGCUUAUGAACUGUGCCGCUGUUGCUACAUUCAAGUACAAGGCCGUGAGCUCGACUCGUUUUUGAACGUCGGCAACUGGUCUGUCCAAUUGGAAUUGUCAAAAAAAUAUACAAAU
ensembl:ncRNA asRNA:CR44375 antisense RNA:CR44375